rnacentral:rRNA from 1 species
CCUACGGGAGGCAGCAGUGAGGAAUAUUGGUCAAUGGGCGAGAGCCUGAACCAGCCAAGUAGCGUGCAGGAUGACAGCCCUCGGGGUUGUAAACUGCUUUUAGUUGGGCAUAAAAAAAGGGACUUGUCCCUUCUUGUAUGUACCUUCAGAAAAAGGACCGGCUAAUUCCGUGCCAGCAGCCGCGGUAAUACGGAAGGUCCAGGCGUUAUCCGGAUUUAUUGGGUUUAAAGGGAGCGUAGGCGGAUUGUUAAGUCAGCGGUUAAAGGGUGUGGCUCAACCAUGCAUUGCCGUUGAAACUGGCGAUCUUGAGUGCAGACAGGGAUGCCGGAAUUCGUGGUGUAGCGGUGAAAUGCUUAGAUAUCGCGAAGAACUCCGAUCGCGAAGGCAGGUGUCCGGGCUGUAACUGACGCUGAGGCUCGAAAGUGUGGGUAUCAAACAGGAUUAGAUACCCCGGUAGUC